rnacentral:misc_RNA from 1 species
UAAAAUUAAAAAAUAAAAAUAAAAUUACAGUUGUCCUCAGCAAGUUUUCAUGCCUUCAUAACAUUGUAUAAUAGUUUCAUUGUCAUUCUUAUAGAAAAUAUAUUUCUCAAAGUAUGUGAUCAAACAAUCGACCAUCCAUUGAUUUCCAAUUCUAUUACGUAACCGAUUGUUCACAAUUUUCAUAGUAGAAAAUGCGUUUCAAAGAACGUAGUUGCAACAAGUGAGACCAGAGUCAAAAAUUAUAACCUUGUAAACUAACGAACUUAAAAUGUGCUUCUUUGCCUUUACCAUUUUCUCAACAAGAUCACAUUUGAAAACUCACAAU